AUUCUAGGGUUUUCUGUAGUCUCUCUGGUGCUGCCCUGCGUUUCAAAGGCUUCAGAGUAAAUCGGUAGUCAUGGGUCACUCAAACGUCUGGAAUUCUCAUCCCAAGAACUACGGGCCUGGUUCUCGUGCCUGCCGUGUUUGUGGGAAUCCCCAUGGGUUGAUCCGGAAGUAUGGACUCAUGUGUUGCAGACAGUGCUUUCGUAACAAUACAUCACCAAAAUUAAACAUUUC
rnacentral:misc_RNA from 1 species